rnacentral:tRNA from 1 species
GGCGGUGUAGCUCAGUCGGUUAGAGCGGGGGUUUCAUAAGCCCUGAGUCGGUGGUUCGAAUCCACCCACCGCUACCA